UACGUAGGGUGCGAGCGUUGCCCGGAUUUAUUGGGCGUAAAGGGCGCGUAGGCGGCCACGCACGUCCGUUGUGAAAUCGCCCGGCUCAACUGGGCGGGGUCAGCGGAUACGGUGUGGCUCGAGCAAGCUAGGGGGCAAUGGAAUUCCCGGUGUAGUGGUGGAAUGCGUAGAGUAUCGGGAGGAACACCAGUGGCGAAGGCGGUUGCCUGGAGCUUUGCUGACGCUGAGGCGCGAAAGCG
rnacentral:rRNA from 1 species